rnacentral:rRNA from 1 species
CCUACGGGUGGCUGCAGUGGGGAAUAUUGCGCAAUGGGCGAAAGCCUGACGCAGCGACGCCGCGUGAGGGAUGAAGGUCUUCGGAUCGUAAACCUCUGUCAGCAGGGAAGAACGGUCACUUUGCUAAUCAGCAAUGCAUUGACAGUACCUUCAAAGGAAGCACGGGCUAACGCAGUGCCCGCAGCCGCGGUAAUACGGGGGGGGGGAACGUUAAUGGGAAUUACGGGGCGUAAAGCGCUUGUAGGCGGGAGGUCAAUUCAAGGGUGAAAUCCCGGCGCUCAACGGGGGAACUGCCUUUGAAACUGGGGAACGGGAGUGUGGGAGAGGUAAGUGGAAUUCCAGGUGUAGGAGUGAAAUGCGUAGAUAUCGGGAGGAACAUCAGUGGCGAAGGCGACUUGCUGGAACAUAACUGACGCUGAGGAGCGAAAGCGUGGGGAGCAAACAGGAUUAGAUACCCGUGUAGUC